rnacentral:lncRNA from 1 species
UCUAGCACUUGUAAUCAAUCAAAUUCAUUGUAUUACAACAUAUUCUAACCCAAAAUAACUUUAUCCAAGCCAUUCACUGCCUCAAAGCAAUGGUUUUGGGUUCUUAUCCCAUUUGGGACCAAAUAUGAACAAGUCUUUCUUCUCACUUCUUAACAUUCUUCAUGUAUCUCUAGCACUUGUAAACAAUCAAAUUCAUUGUAUU